CACAAAGCCUCCACAGCCCUUGAACCGAUCUGUGAUGGAGUUUUCACAGAUGCUGAACUCAGGGGCUGCACUUCCGUUGGGUACAGACAACCUAUGCUGGCCUGCAGGAAAAUGUCUAAUUCAGAGAGAAAGUGAUUCUGCACAAAGUCUAUAAAGUUUCCAGCUUUCCACCAUACCUGCAGACUUAAAGAAAACCUUGUGUCUUUGAGGUGGAGAACUGACUAAAGUGGGAGCAGAGGAAAUCCAGCAGCUCUUUGAACCGGUGACCUAUAAAAGCAAGUAUCAGGAUAUUACUUCAUAUGAGCAUUCUGUGGAGAUGUAAAGAAUGGCAUGUGAACUGAGAGCAUAUACACACAAAUAUAAAUACUGCUUUGCUCCUGCUUUGCUUUGCUCUCUUCAUGGGAGAGAAGAAAUAUACUUCCUGCAAAGACUUUUCAAGUGUACCCCAAUCUGAGGGCUCAUGGCAAGCUCUGUACUUUUUACACACCCUGAAAGGCAAGUGCAGAGAACACAAUGGAAUGAGAUGGAAUGGGAUGGGAAGGGUGAGGAUCGGGUGGCGUGGGGUGGAGUGGGAUGGGAUAGGAUGGGAGCUGCUGUGAGGGAGUCCAGAUCUGAGGUUAUCUGCUCCACACAGCAACUUCUUCUAAUUGCCUUGUACUAAACUGCGCCCUAACCUGAUAAGAUAAUCUCUUUCUAGGUUCAUCUUUGUUUUCACUCCUAUAGCAGGAGAAACGUGGUGAUGUAUUGAGAACGUAGUUUCAUUUUUACCCUCCUGACUAGGCAAAGGACGCUGUGGGUGCUCCAGGUCUGCAGAGAUCCUCAACUGUGGUCAUGUGCUGCAGCCCUUUGCACCAUCUUGCACUGCCUUAUCCACCUCCAAAUGUACUAGGGACUGAGGGCUUGGUAGGCAUUUAUUUUAUCUGAAUGACUGGAGAAGAAGGAAAAGAGCUAACAUUUGAUUUAAAGUAAAAAAAAGAAAGAAAAAAAGAAAAAAGAAAGGGAAGGGAGGGGAAGGGAAGGGAAGGAAAAUAAGGAAAGGAAAGGAAAGGAAAGGAAAGGAAAGGAAAGGAAAGGAAAGGAAAGGAAAGGAAAGGAAAGGAAAGGAAAGGAAAGGAAAGGAAAGGAAAGGAAAGGAAAGGAAAGGAAAGGAAAGGAAAGGAAAGGAAAGGAAAGGAAAGGAAAGGAAAGGAAAGGAAAGGAAAGGAAAGGAAAGGAAAGGAAAGGAAAGGAAAGGAAAGGAAAGGGUAAUGUAGUAAUGUUAAAAAAACAUAUCCUUUUUUUUUUUUUUCUGCAGUAAUUUUUG
rnacentral:lncRNA from 1 species